UGGGGAAUAUUGCACAAUGGGCGAAAGCCUGAUGCAGCAACGCCGCGUGAGUGAUGAAGGUCUUCGGAUUGUAAAGCUCUGUCUUUUGGGACGAUAAUGACGGUACCAAAGGAGGAAGCCACGGCUAACUACGUGCCAGCAGCCGCGGUAAUACGUAGGUGGCGAGCGUUGUCCGGAUUUACUGGGCGUAAAGGGUGCGUAGGCGGAUGUUUAAGUGAGAUGUGAAAUACCCGGGCUUAACUUGGGUGCUGCAUUUCAAACUGGAUAUCUAGAGUGCAGGAGAGGAGAAUGGAAUUCCUAGUGUAGCGGUGAAAUGCGUAGAGAUUAGGAAGAACACCAGUGGCAAAGGCGAUUCUCUGGACUGUAACUGACGCUGAGGCACGAAAAGGC
rnacentral:rRNA from 1 species